UUGCAGCGGAGUACCGUGCGGCAUUAUUUAAAAGCUACCUUGCGGCGGAGUACCGUGCGGUACAAUGCGGCAUUUUACCUUGCAGCUCAGUACCGCGCGGUACAGCACGGCAUUUCCUAAAACUCUAGCUUAACAGUGCGGCACGGCUGUCCAAGAGAACUCCAAACACCAUGAACACGGAGAAUGGAACACCAAGGGACAAGAGUGUAUAGAGAGAGUGGAUGAUAGUAGCAUUGUGUUUCUCGUUUAACACCAAAUAUUUGGUCUCGCGCGUUUUUGCGGAAUAUUUUAGGUCGAGAUGGGAUCGAGGGGAGCGGUGAGCAACGCGCUCCUUCGCGCUCUGCGACGAUCGAUCGUAGCGCGUGUCGCGCCCGGCUCGGUAGCAGCGGCUGGAUCGCGCUUAGGUGAGGAGGAGCGAGGAGCUAGAUUGAAAAUGUGGGAGGUUUUCGGGGUUUUGAGUGGCGCUGUGGCGAUCGGCAGCUGGAUCGGGCAAGGGAAAUGCUCGCCGGCGCAUUGCGAGGAGAGCGAGGAAGGGAAAGGGAAGUUCUUGAUGAAAGAGUCUUAUAGACGAAGGGUGUUCUUCAAGUAUGAAAGGCGCAUCAGAGCUUUCAGCCCUCCUGAGAAGGUGUUUGAGUACUUUGCUUCACUCAGAGAAGAUGGGCAAUCUUUUAUGACUCCAUCCGAUUUGAUGCGUGCCGUCGUCCCAGUUUUUCCAUCAAGUGAAUCGAAUGCCACGAGAGAAGGAAGUCUUGGUGGGGAGAGAUCUCCUGGAGAGCUUAGUUGUCCUCCAUCGACGUUUUUCAUGCUUUUCGACACAAAUGGAGACGGGCAAAUAUCAUUUCCAGAGUUUAUAUUUUUCGUUACUCUUCUCAGCCUGCCGGAAGAGAACUUCAAGACGACUUUUAAAAUGUUCGACAUUGAUGGGAAUGACAUGAUUGACAGGGAAGAGUUCAAAAAGAUCAUGAGUAUAAUGAGAUCGCAGACUAGACAAGGCCUUGCGCAGCGAGACGGUCGUCGAAGCAUUGCUGUGAAAACUAGUGGCGACUCUGUUGAAGAAGGCGGACUCGUGCAGCUCUUUUUCGGUGAGGAUGGGAAGAAGCUUUUGAACUUUGAGGAUUUUGUUUCUUUCUUACGUGACCUUCAUGAAGAGAUAUUAAAGCUGGAGUUUUCCCAUUAUGAUUUCAAACGGAAAGGACAUAUCUCUGCUCGCGAUUUUGCGUUGUCCCUAGUUUCUGCGGCCAAUUUGUCCAAGAUAAAUCAGUAUUUGGACCUUGCGGACGCUAUUGAAGACGAUCCCAAGUUUAAAUCCUUGCGUAUCACUUACGAGGAGUUCCGGUGUUUCGCCCAACUUCGAAAGAAACUUCCCACUUUAGCCUUGGCAAUUUCGAGCUUUGGAAAGACGUCAGGCUUAUUGACGAAGUCGGAUUUUCAACGAGCGGCAGCGCAGGUCUGCAGUGUGCCCCUGACUGAGGCUGUGAUAGACGUCGUGUUUUAUAUUUUUGAUCUGAACCGAGACGGGAAUCUGAGCAUGGAAGAAUUUCUAGGUGCUCUGCAGAGGCGAGAGGGAGAUACUGGACAUCCAGCGGAGGCAGGCAUUGUCCAGGUUUUGAAAUGCUGGUGGAACUGUGCGCGUAACUGUCGGAACGAGAAACAGUGGAUGUCGGUUUGAUAGAAUCUGUUACAACAUGAAACGCAGAGUGGAUCUAUAAGGACCUGGAAUCCGAAUACGGUUCAUAUAGUAGGUUUUCCAGAGUUCAGGAUCCAGCUGAACUGACUUGCACUUGCCGCACUGUGAAGCGGCUUGGCUUUCUU